GAUGAAUACAAAAUAAAUGUGAACAUCGCCUGGGGUCUUCCCAUACAGAACCAUGGGAUAGACAUUGGUGAUGUAUCGGAGAGAAAGAAACUUAGAGAAAAGCUAAAUUGCAAACCAUUUAAAUGGUACCUGGAAAAUGUCUAUCCUGAGUUAAAUCCCUUAAUUUUUUUAGGUUAUGGAGCGCUGAUUAAUGAUCUGCAAACACGUUUAUGUUUGGAUAAGGGAACCCUUGAGGAGAACACUCCCAUUUUAUAUCCAUGUCAUUUCAUGGGAUCACAGGUAUUUUACUAUACAGCAAGCGGUGAGAUAUUUGCGCAUCCCCUUCAGGCCCUUAAAAGCUACAAGAACCGCUGUCUAGUUGAUCCCGGUUCAGGCAGGUUUCCAAAACUGUCCUGGUGUUCAGACACUGAAAAACCAAAACACAUGUACUGGGACUUCACACAGGGACAGGCCAUACAGAACAGAGAAACCAAACGCUGUCUGGAGAUCAGCGCUGAGCAGAAAGGAAAGUAUAAAAAUAACAUUUUCCUUCAGGACUGCAGAAACCAACACUGGAAGAUACAGAAUGUAAUUCAGGACUUCUGAAAUGCAAGAUAUAAUCAGUCUAUAUAAACAUAUUUGAGAUGCUUUUGGUCAAUGGGAUCA